UGCCCAGCAACUCCUAUCCCUACCUCCUCGUGGUACUGGCCGGAGUACGAGUAACCUUGGGGAAGAUCGGGUAACCAACCCCCGGUGGGAACUUUGGUCGUAUGCUGACAGCGAAGG
rnacentral:ribozyme from 1 species